rnacentral:rRNA from 1 species
UGGGGAAUAUUGGACAAUGGGGGCAACCCUGAUCCAGCCAUGCCGCGUGAGUGAUGAAGGCCUUCGGGUUGUAAAGCUCUUUUGGCGGGGACGAUGAUGACGGUACCCGCAGAAUAAGCCCCGGCUAACUUCGUGCCAGCAGCCGCGGUAAGACGAAGGGGGCUAGCGUUGUUCGGAAUUACUGGGCGUAAAGCGAGUGUAGGCGGUUGCCGUAGUCAGGUGUGAAAGCCUUGAGCUCAACUCAAGAAAUGCACUUGAUACUGGGUGACUAGAGGACCGGAGAGGAUAGUGGAAUUCCCAGUGUAGUGGUGAAAUACGUAGAGAUUGGGAAGAACACCAGUGGCGAAGGCGGCUAUCUGGACGGUUACUGACGCUAAGACUCGAAAGCGUGGGGAGCAAACAGGAUUAGAUACCCUGGUAGUCCACGCCGUAAACGAUGGGUGCUAGACGUUGGCGAGCUUGCUCGUCAGUGUCGCAGCUAACGCGUUAAGCACCCCGCCUGGGGAGUACGGCCGCAAGGUUGAAACCCCAAAGGAAUUGACGGGGGUCAUAGCUGUUU